GCCCUUAUAGCUCAGUGGUAGAGCGCGUCACUCGUACUACUAGUUGAGGCAUGACGAGGCCCGCUGUUCGAUCCAGCGUGGGGGCA
rfam:Drechmeria coniospora strain ARSEF 6962 chromosome 01, whole genome shotgun sequence.